UACUGCUAAUACCGCAUGACAACUGAGGUUUAAAGGCGCGAGUCGCCUGAGGAGGAGCCUGCGUUCGAUUAGCUAGUUGGUGGGGUAAAGGCCUACCAAGGCGACGAUCGAUAGCUGGUCUGAGAGGAUGAUCAGCCACACUGGGACUGAGACACGGCCCAGACUCCUACGGGAGGCAGCAGUGGGGAAUAUUGGACAAUGGGCGCAAGCCUGAUCCAGCAAUGCCGCGUGGGUGAAGAAGGUUUUCGGAUUGUAAAGCCCUUUUGGCAGGGACGAUGAUGACGGUACCUGCAGAAUAAGCCCCGGCUAACUUCGUGCCAGCAGCCGCGGUAAUACGAAGGGGGCUAGCGUUGCUCGGAAUGACUGGGCGUAAAGGGCGCGUAGGCGGCGAUCAAAGUCAGGCGUGAAAUUCCUGGGCUCAACCUGGGGGCUGCGCUUGAUACUUGGUUGCUUGAGUGGGGAAGAGGGUCGUGGAAUUCCCAGUGUAGAGGUGAAAUUCGUAGAUAUUGGGAAGAACACCGGUGGCGAAGGCGGCGACCUGG
rnacentral:rRNA from 1 species